GAUGAACGCUAGCGACAGGCCUAACACAUGCAAGUCGAGGGGCAUCGGGGCGUAGCAAUACGCUGCCGGCGACCGGCGGAUGGGUGAGUAACGCGUAUGCAACCUACCUUCAGCAGGGGGAUAGCCCGUUGAAAGACGGAUUAAUACCCCAUAACACAGGGGGCUCCGCAUGGAGAUUAUUGUUAAAGGGAUGCUUCCUUCGGGGAGUAUCCGGCUGCAGAUGGGCAUGCGUUCCAUUAGGUAGUUGGUUGAGGUAACGGCUCACCAAGCCUACGAUGGAUAGGGGAACUGAGAGGUUGGUCCCCCACACUGGUACUGAGACACGGACCAGACUCCUACGGGAGGCAGCAGUGAGGAAUCUUGGUCAAUGGACGGAAGUCUGAACCAGCCAUGUCGCGUGAAGGAGGACGGCCCUAAGGGUUGUAAACUUCUUUUGUAAGGGAAUAAAGUACACUACGUGUAGUGUUUUGUAUGUACCUUACGAAUAAGGAUCGGCUAACUCCGUG
rnacentral:rRNA from 1 species